rnacentral:piRNA from 1 species
UGCUGACCCUGAGCGGCCCCCUGGAGC